rnacentral:rRNA from 1 species
UACGAGGGGGGCGAGCGUUGUUCGGAAUUAUUGGGCGUAAAGGGUGCGUAGGCGGUUUGAUAAGUCUGAUGUGAAAUCUAUGGGCUCAACCCAUAGCCUGCAUUAGAACUGUCGGGCUUGAGUAUGGGAGAGGUGAGUGGAAUUUCCGGUGUAGCGGUGAAAUGCGUAGAUAUCGGAAGGAACACCUGUGGCGAAAGCGGCUCACUGGACCAUUACUGACGCUGGAUGCACGAAAGCUAGGGGAGCAAACAGG